GAUCCUGGCUCAGGAUGAACGCUAGCGACAGGCCUAACACAUGCAAGUCGAGGGGCAGCGGGGAGGUAGCAAUACCUUUGACGGCGACCGGCGCACGGGUGAGUAACACGUAUACAAUCCACCUGUAACAGGGGAUAACCCGGAGAAAUCCGGACUAAUACCCCAUAAUAUGGGCGCUCCGCAUGGAGAGUUCAUUAAAGAGAGCUAAUUUUGGUUACAGACGAGCAUGCGCUCCAUUACGCCUAGG
rnacentral:rRNA from 1 species